AUGUGAGUCUUGAUUAUAAAUAUGCAUUGGGAAAUGAGGAAAAUUACCAAUGCGUGUGCCCACCACAUGUCAAAAUGUAGAGGCUGGCUUUAAUCUUUCUCCUGAGCUCUGACUUGUGCGUAUGGUGAACAUUUUUUUGGCUCUUGGCUGCCCACCAUCCAGGCUUCCUUUUUUCUAGAGACAACACCUUGUUUUGUUUUGGUUUUGGGGGGGUCACGGUCUCCCCCCAAUGAGGGCAGUCGUAGUGGUACGGAGUUCAGAGUAGCCCACCCUCCCUCAGCCUGGGGUGAGUUAUCAGCCGACACCGCUGGGUAUGGCAUGGGGUUGGGGAGGGGAUGUUUCUACUUAACUUUUGCAACAAACAAUUUGCAAAUAAAAGAUUUAAGAAAAAGAUUAACGUGGACCCCAAAGAUCUGGCUAGAUGCAAGGAGUUUUCCUGUUCAAUCCGUUUGAACAGCAACCACAGGCCUGGCUUCUUCUACUCAGUUGUAGAGCCGGGGGAAAUGCACACAGCCCACGUCACACUCCUGAAGUUGCCAACACUCCCCUUCAAAUGAUUGAACAGAUGUCUUUCCCUGGGGUUGAGCGGAUAUAAAUCACAACGGCCUGCUUUCAAUCCCUAAGCUUGGUGUCUCAGGGGCAACAGCAUCCAUCACUCUCCCGUUUGUUUUCUGAAUGUUUUUUAAAUCUUCCGAAUUAUAACAGCAAUCGCCAUUACAGUAUGCAAGAAAACAUAAACACAUCUGUGCAGGUAGCAGUAUUUCAUCCCAGGGUACAAACUUCCGGCGUGGCGGUGGAGUCGAGCAGGCCUCGGUCACUCAGCUUUGCAGCCAGUCCCGCAAGGGCUCAGCAUGAAGAAAGGAGUGGUUUCCAAGCUUAGAAUCGGGGGCUUACCUGGCCUAAAGACCGACACAGCCACGGCUCAUACAUCAUCCGCGGGAAGAGGCGGGGUCUUGUCAUUCACAAGAAGGGAUGGGAAUGUGGACUUUCCCCAAAAAAUAACAAAUAAAUAAAAAAAAAAAAAAGACAAUCAGGGCUCCAGUCAUGCAGUUGGUCCUGGGAUCUGUCUUGGCUUUCCGGCUUUAUCUACCAGGGUUUUGGUGGCAUGAAAAAAAGAUGGCUGAAGAACCUUACAUCAUAAAUAAAUAGUUAAAUGAAAGCUCUUAGUACUUCCAGAGAAUCACGAUCCAAAUUUACACUCGUUCCUCUUGGGUGGAGCCGAUUGCACAUCUAGUUUCCAAUAAUAUGAUUUAUGUAGUUCAAAAUAGAGCCUUUUUUUUUUUUUGGCAUUUUAGGGCUGUACCCACGGCAUAUGGACGUUCACAGACUAGACGUGGAACUGUAGCUGCCAGCCUACACCACAGCCACAGCAAUGGGAGAUCCUUAACCCCCACCGAGCGAGGCCAAGGAUCGAACCCGAUUCCUUGUAGUCCAGUUCGUUACCAGUGAGCCACAACGGGAACUCCUAAAGCACAUUUUUCAGGCUGGUACAAACCCUAACCCCAAAUGAGGUCGCCUGAUGCUUAUCCAUGGAUGUCAUGCGGUGAGAGGAGCUUCGGGGUCAGGAGGCAGGAUGCCUGCUCUGGGGAAAGAGGGUGGACUUUAAUGAGAAACAGCUAGGUUUGAAUCUGAACCGUCUCUGCCAUUGGCUGUAGAAACUCAGGCAAGCCUCGUUGUGUGUGUGAACUGGCAUGAGUCCUCUGUGGAAUGGGAACACCGUCUACCCAGUGAUGUCUUGGUGAAUAUAUGGUAGAUUUUAGGGGCUUACAAAGGAUAGCUGUUCUCAUUACCUCUGGUUUUACAGAAUUGGGUGUCUGCGGCUAAAAUGAACCUCCGGGGGGGGCCUGUUUCACACGUUCUUAGAGUCUGAGGCUGGGCCUUCCCGCCCUACUCCAUGGACUCCCCCUGCAACAGAAGUGCUUUUCUGCCCCUUUACAACCCAAAGUCAAGUCACCUCACUUCCCCCACGCCCCCUACCCCAAUGCAACACCACCAUUCGGCAAGCCUCCCUCUGCCCUACUUCCUGCAGAGUUGGGGCAGGGAGGUCAGGGCGAAUAUUGCUCCUAGUUCCAGAUUCCACAGAAUUUCUAAAUUGCUAAAUUUCUCUGGUCUCAGCCAACAUGUGGCCAGUCUCCCUCUUUUUUUUUUUUCCUUUUUAGGGCUGCACAAUAUGAGAUCCGAGCCGCACCUGAGACCUCCACCACAGCUCACGGCAACACUGGAUCCUUAACCCACUCAGCGAGGCCAGGGAUCAAACCCACAUCCCUAUGGAUACUAGUCAGAGAUGAUGAGAUGGACCAUAUGUCUAAAAACAGUAAGUGAGGAGGCUGCGGAGAAGCAAUUGAAUCGAAACAAAGGCAGCAGUGGGAAGUCCCCCUCUGGCAAGGGACUCCAAGACACAGAGCUGGUGCCAGAAUGGAAACCUUGGGACUCCGGUUGCUGCAUAGAAAAAUAAAUUGAGGAACAAAAAUAAACACCCACAUCUCCAUGCUGGACAGCAGAAGAGCAAGAAGAGUCUGAUUCCCAUAAAUGGACAGAAUCUGCACAGAUCUAGAAGAUGGAGACAAAGAACCCAUGGAUCAGAACAUCCCUCUUUGUAGAAGUCAGCAGAGCUGGGAGAGAGAUGAAGAUUCUGGUGAACGACUUCUGUGACAAAGCCAAAACAGUUUCCCAGAAAUUAGCUGCAUUUGGAGCUCAGAAUCGAGCACGAAGAAGUGGUCUCAGGAAGCAGGUGGAGAACCUUCUUCCAAAACAGCUCCUCAUGUGACCUUCCGUGGCCCAGGAAUCCCCUUCUCUGACCUCUUUGCAUCCUGAAGUCAUCCUACUGCUGCCACUUGAAACGUUCCGAAGCUCUGAAGACAUGCUUAAACAUCCUCCACGGAGACAAACACUGUGUCCUGCCACUUAUAUGAGAUACUUAGAGUAGAGUCACAUUCACGGAGACAGGGGUACAACAGGGGCUGCCAGGGGCUCAGAGAGGGGAGAUGGGGAGUCGAUGCUUUAUUAUGGAGCUUCAGCUUUAUAAGAUGAAAAGAUCUGUGGAGACGGCUGGGUGGUGAUGGCUGUACAGCAUCAUGAGUGCCUUUAAUACUGUAUAUUGAAAAAUGGUGAAGGUGGCCAAUUUUGUCAUGUAUAUGUUACCACAAUAAAAAAAAAUGGGAAAAAA
rnacentral:lncRNA from 1 species